rnacentral:rRNA from 1 species
CCUACGGGAGGCAGCAGUGGGGAAUAUUGCGCAAUGGGCGGAAGCCUGACGCAGCGACGCCGCGUGGGGGAUGACGGCCUUCGGGUUGUAAACCUCUUUCGACCGGGACGAAGAGUGAUUGACGGUACCGGUAGAAGAAGCACCGGCCAACUACGUGCCAGCAGCCGCGGUAACACGUAGGGUGCGAGCGUUGUCCGGAAUUAUUGGGCGUAAAGAGCUCGUAGGCGGUGUGUCGCGUCGGCCGUGAAAACCUGGGGCUUAACUCUGGGCUUGCGGUCGAUACGGGCAUCACUUGAGUUCGGCAGGGGAGACUGGAAUUCCUGGUGUAGCGGUGAAAUGCGCAGAUAUCAGGAGGAACACCGGUGGCGAAGGCGGGUCUCUGGGCCGAUACUGACGCUGAGGAGCGAAAGCGUGGGGAGCGAACAGGAUUAGAUACCCUGGUAGUCCACGCCGUAAACGUUGGGCGCUAGGUGUGGGGGCCAUUCCACGGUCUCUGUGCCGCAGCUAACGCAUUAAGCGCCCCGCCUGGGGAGUACGGCCGCAAGGCUAAAACUCAAAGGAAUUGACGGGGGCCCGCACAAGCGGCGGAGCAUGUGGAUUAAUUCGAUGCAACGCGAACAACCUUACCUGGGUUUGACAUCGCCGGAGAACUCGCAGAGAUGUGGGGUCCCUUCGGGGCCGGUGACAGGUGGUGCAUGGCUGUCGUCCGCUCGUG